CGCUACGGCAGCCUAAUCAUGCAAGUCGGACGGUCUCUAGCAAUAGAGAUAGUGGCGCACGGGUGCGUAACGCGUAACCAACCUGCCCUGAACUGGGGGAUAGCCCGCCGAAAGGCGGAUUAAUACCGCAUAAAACAGUAGUGUGGCAUCACACAAUUGUUAAAGAUUUAUUGGUUCAGGAUGGGGUUGCGUGCCAUUAGCUAGUUGGCGGGGUAACGGCCCACCAAGGCGACGAUGGCUAGGGGAGCUGAGAGGCUGGUCCCCCACACGGGCACUGAGAUACGGGCCCGACUCCUACGGGAGGCAGCAGUAGGGAAUAUUGGGCAAUGGAAGAGAUUCUGACCCAGCCAUGCCGCGUGCAGGAUGAAGGCUUUCUGAGUCGUAAACUGCUUUUGCCAGGGAAGAAAAAAGGGGAUGCGUCCUCUACUGACGGUACCUGGUGAAUAAGCACCGGCUAACUCCGUGCCAGCAGCCGCGGUAAU
rnacentral:rRNA from 1 species